GAUGAACGCUGGCGGCGUGCCUAAUACAUGCAAGUCGAGCUAACGGACGAGUAGCUUUCUUCCCUGAUGUUAGCGGCGGACGGGUUAGUAACACGUGGAUAUCCUACCUAUUAGACUUGGAUCACUUCGGGAAACCGGAGCUAAUACCGGAUAAUAUUUUCAACCGCAUUGUUCAAAAGUUUAUGACGGUCUUGCUGUCACUUAUAGAUUGAUCCGCGCUGCAUUAGCUAGUUGGUAAGGUAACGGCUUACCAAGGCAACGAUGCAUAGCCGACCUGAGAGGGUGAUCGGCCACACUGGAACUGAGACACGGUCCAGACUCCUACGGGAGGCAGCAGUAGGGAAUCUUCCGCAAUGGGCGAAAGCCUGACGGAGCAACGCCGCGUGAGUGAUGAAGGUCUUCGGAUCGUAAAACUCUGUUAUUAGGGAAGAACAUAUGUGUAAGUAACUGUGCACAUCUUGACGGUACCUAAUCAGAAAGCCACGGCUAACUACGUG
rnacentral:rRNA from 1 species